rnacentral:rRNA from 1 species
GGUUUGAUCAUGGCUCAGAUUGAACGCUGCGGGAUGUUUUACACAUGCAAGUCGAACGGCAGCACGGACUUCGGUCUGGUGGCGAGUGGCGAACGGGUGAGUAAUGUAUCGGAACGUGCCUAGUAGCGGGGGAUAACUACGCGAAAGCGCAGCUAAUACCGCAUACUGGCCCUUCGGGGGAAAGCGGGGACCUCGGGCCUCGCACUAUUAGAGCGGCCGAUAUCGGAUUAGCUAGUUGGUGGGGUAACGGCUCACCAAGGCGAUGAUCCGUAGCUGGUUUGAGAGGACGACCAGCCACACUGACCGAGACACGGCCCAGACUCCUACGGGAGGCAGCAGUGGGGGAAUUUUGGACAAUGGGGAAAUCCCUGAUCCAGCCAUCCCGCGUGUGCGAUGAAGGCCUUCGCCGUGCAAAGCACUUUGCAGGAAAGAAACCAGGCACGGACAAUACCCCGUGCAACUGACGGUACCUGCAGAAGCACCGGCUAACUACGCCAGCAGCCGCGGUAAUACGUAGGGUGCAAGCGUUAAUCGGAAUUACUGGGCGUAAGCGUGCGCAGGCGGUUCGGAAAAAGAAAGAUGUGGAAAUCCCAGAGCUUAACUUUGGAACUGCAUUUUUAACUACCGAGCUAGAGUGUGUCAGAGGAGGUGGAAUUCCGCGUGUAGCAGUGAAAUGCGUAGAUAUGCGGAGGAACACCGAUGGCGAAGGCAGCCUCCUGGGAUAACACUGACGCUCAUGCACGAAAGCGUGGGGAGCAAAACAGGAUUAGAUACCCUGGUAGUCCACGCCCUAAACGAUGUCAACUAUUGUUGGGGCCUUCGGGCCUUAGUAGCGCAGCUAACGCGUGAAGUUGACCGCCUGGGGAGUACGGUCGCAAGAUUAAAACUCAGCGAAUUGACGGGACCCGCACAAGCGGUGGACAAUGUGGAUUAAUUCGAUGCAACGCGAAAACCUUACCUACUCCUGACAUGUCUGAAUCCCGAAGAGAUUUGGGAGUGCUGCAAAAGAGAACGGAACACAGGUGCUGCAUGGCUGUCGUCAGCUCGUGUCGUGAGAUGUUGGGUUAAGUCUCAACGAAAGGCAACCCUUGUCACACAGUUGCUACGAAAGGGCACUCUAAUGAGACUGCCGGUGACAAACCGAGGAAGGUGGGGAUGACGUCAAGUCCUCAUGGCCUUAUGGGUAGGGCUUCACACGUCAUACAAUGGUCGGGACAGAGGGUCGCCAACCCGCGAGGGGGAGCCAAUCCCCAGAAACCCGAUCGUAGUCCGAUCGCAGUCUGCAACUCGACCGCGUGAAGUCGGAAUCGCUAGUAAUCGCGGAUCAGCAUGUCGCGGUGAAUACGUUCCCGUCUUGUACACACCCCGCCCGUCACACCAUGGGAGUGGGUUUUACCAGAAGUAGUUAGCCUAACCGUAAGGAGGGCGAUUACCACGGUAGGAUUCAUGACUGGGGUGAAGUCGUAACAAGGUAGCCUGGUUACUGCCUG